GGAGGAAAAGAAACUAACAAGGAUUCCCCUAGUAACGGCGAGUGAAGCGGGAAGAGCUCAAAUUUGAAAUCUGGUGGCCUCAGGUCAUCCGAGUUGUAAUCUAUAGAAGUGUUUUCCGUGCUGGCUCAUGUACAAGUCCCUUGGAACAGGGCGUCAUAGAGGGUGAGAAUCCCGUCCUUGACAUGAACUACCAGUGCUCUGUGAUACAUUUUCAACGAGUCGAGUUGUUUGGGAAUGCAGCUCAAAAUGGGUGGUAAAUUCCAUCUAAAGCUAAAUAUUGGCGAGAGACCGAUAGCGAACAAGUACCGUGAGGGAAAGAUGAAAAGCACUUUGGAAAGAGAGUUAAACAGUAUGUGAAAUUGUUAAAAGGGAAACGAUUGAAGUCAGUCGUGCUCUUUGGAUUCAGCCGGUUCUGCCGGUGUACUUCCUUUGAGUGGGGUCAACAUCAGUUUUGAUCGCUGGAUAAAGGCUGGAGGAACGUAGCACCCUCGGGUGAACUUAUAGCCUCCUGUCACAUACAGUGGUUGGGACUGAGGAACGCAGCACGCCUUUAUGGCCGGGAUUCGUCCACGUACGUGCUUAGGAUG
rnacentral:rRNA from 1 species